rnacentral:rRNA from 1 species
CCUACGGGAGGCAGCAGUGAGGAAUAUUGGUCAAUGGGCGGAAGCCUGAACCAGCCAAGUAGCGUGCAGGAUGACGGCCCUACGGGUUGUAAACUGCUUUUAUACGGGAAUAACGCGCCUUACGUGUAGGUCUUUGCAUGUACCGUAUGAAUAAGGACCGGCUAAUUCCGUGCCAGCAGCCGCGGUAAUACGGGGGAUGCAAGCGUUAUCCGGAUUUAUUGGGUUUAAAGGGUGCGUAGGCUGUGAGGUAAGUCAGUGGUGAAAUGCCCCCGCUCAACGGGGUGAAGUGCCAUUGAUACUGCCAUGCUGGAAUGCGGAUGACGUGGGAGGAAUGUGUGGUGUAGCGGUGAAAUGCAUAGAUAUCACACAGAACACCGAUUGCGAAGGCAGCUCACGAAUCCGCGAUUGACGCUGAUGCACGAAAGCGUGGGUAUCAAACAGGAUUAGAUACCCGGGUAGUC